GAUGAAGAACGCAGUGAAAUGCGAUACGUAAUGUGAAUUGCAGAAUUCAGUGAAUCAUCGAGUCUUUGAACGCACAUUGCGCCCCCUGGUAUUCCGGGGGGCAUGCCUGUCCGAGCGUCAUUGCUGCCCUCAAGCGCGGCUUGUGUGUUGGGCCUCCGUCCUCCUCCCGGGGGACGGGCCCGAAAGGCAGCGGCGGCACCGCGUCCGGUCCUCGAGCGUAUGGGGCUUCGUCACCCGCUCUUGUAGGCCCGGCCGGCGCUUGCCGACACAUCAAUCUUUUUUCCAGGUUGACCUCGGAUCAGGUAGGGAUACCCGCUGAACUUAAGCAUAUCAAUAAGCGGAGGA
rnacentral:misc_RNA from 1 species